CGAGCGAACAGAUAAGGAGCUUGCUCCUUUGACGUUAGCGGCGGACGGGUGAGUAACACGUGGAUAACCUACCUAUAAGACUGGGAUAACUUCGGGAAACCGGAGCUAAUACCGGAUAAGAUUUUGAACCGCAUGGUUCAAUAGUGAAAGACGGCCUUGCUGUCACUUAUAGAUGGAUCCGCGCCGUAUUAGCUAGUUGGUAAGGUAACGGCUUACCAAGGCAACGAUACGUAGCCGACCUGAGAGGGUGAUCGGCCACACUGGAACUGAGACACGGUCCAGACUCCUACGGGAGGCAGCAGUAGGGAAUCUUCCGCAAUGGGCGAAAGCCUGACGGAGCAACGCCGCGUGAGUGAUGAAGGUCUUCGGAUCGUAAAACUCUGUUAUCAGGGAAGAACAAACGUGUAAGUAACUGUGCACGUCUUGACGGUACCUGAUCAGAAAGCCACGGCUAACUACGUGCCAGCAGCCGCGGUAAUACGUAGGUGGCAAGCGUUAUCCGGAAUUAUUGGGCGUAAAGCGCGCGUAGGCGGUUUUUUAAGUCUGAUGUGAAAGCCCACGGCUCAACCGUGGAGGGUCAUUGGAAACUGGAAAACUUGAGUGCAGAAGAGGAAAGUGGAAUUCCAUGUGUAGCGGUGAAAUGCGCAGAGAUAUGGAGGAACACCAGUGGCGAAGGCGACUUUCUGGUCUGUAACUGACGCUGAUGUGCGAAAGCGUGGGGAUCAAACAGGAUUAGAUACCCUGGUAGUCCACGCCGUAAACGAUGAGUG
rnacentral:rRNA from 1 species